rnacentral:rRNA from 1 species
UCUAGAGCUAAUACAUGCGCCAAAACCCGACUUCUUGGAAGGGUUGUGUUUAUUAGUUACAAAACCAACCCAGGCUCCGCCUGGUCCUCUGGUGAUUCAUAAUAACCGAACGAAUCGCAUGGCAUCAGCUGGCGAUGAAUCAUUCAAGUUUCUGACCUAUCAGCUUCCGACGGUAGGGUAUUGGCCUACCGUGGCAAUGACGGGUAAUUCCAGCUCCAAUAGCGUAUAUUAAAGUUGUUGCGGUUAAAAAGCUCGUAGUUGGAUUCCUGCCGAGGACGACCGGUCCGCCCUCCGGGUGAGCAUCUGGCUCGGCCUGGGCAUCUUCUUGGAGAACGUAUCUGCACUUGGCUGUGUGGUGCGGUAUUCAGGACUUUUACUUUGAGGAAAUUAGAGUGUUUCAAGCAGGCACACGCCUUGAAUACAUUAGCAUGGAAUAAUAAGAUAGGACCUCGGUUCUAUUUUGUUGGUUUCUAGA